rnacentral:rRNA from 1 species
UUGGAGGGCAAGUCUGGUGCCAGCAGCCGCGGUAAUUCCAGCUCCAAUAGCGUAUAUUAAAGUUGUUGCAGUUAAAAAGCUCGUAGUUGAAUUUCGGGGUUCUACCGUUGGUCGGGCUUUGUCUGUACUGGUGUGUAGAAUUUCUACCUUCUGGGGAACCAUCAUGCUAUUAAUUUAGCGUGGUGGGAAACCAGGACCUUUACCUUGAAAAAAUUAGUGUGUUCAAAGCAGGCUUAUGUCUGAAUACAUUAGCGUGGAAUAAUAGAAUAGGACGGUGGUCCUGUUUUGUUGGUUUCUGAAUCACCGUAAUGAUUAAUAGGGAUAGUUGGGGGCAUUAGUAUUCAAUUGUCAGAGGUGGAAUUCUUGGAUUUAUUGAAGACUAACUUCUGCGAAAGCAUUUGCCAAGGAUGUUUUCAUUAAUCAAGAACGAAAGUUAGGGGAUCGAAGACGAUCAGAUACCGUCGUAGUCUUAACCAUAAACUAUGCCGACUAGGGAUCGGACGAUGUUAAUUUUUCUUGACUCGUUCGGCGCCUUACGGGAAA